AGGGGGAAAGAGGCAGUAUCAGACCCGAGAGUGAAACAACAAAAAGGGAGAGAUUUUUUCUUAAGCCUUUUCCAUACAAAAACUUUGAUUUACGAAGAUCCAACGGUCCGAUCUUCAAUCCGUCUUCGGAAACGUGACCCUUGCACUUGGAUUUACAUUUUCACCGAUUAGUUUGAGGAUUUGCACGGUUUGGAACUUCUUAAGCACUUUCCUAGUGUUUGAUUUUGUUUGGGCAGAUUUUGGUGACGCAUUGCAAGGUGGUGUCUAGGAGACCUAGUACUUAAAUCCGCGCAGUCAGACGUUUAUGCUUUGGUUGCAGGUUUUGUGGAUAUAGUUAUUGACUCGUCCACCUAGUGUCUGGGAUGCUAUGAUUGGAGCAUAUCGCGACAGUCAUAAGUCACGGACUCAUGGGUAGUUCGCAUUUUGGGUAUUUUAUUUAUGGCUCGUGUACCACGUGACACAUGUAUUUGUUGAGCCUAUAUUUAGUAUGUAAUUGGUGUAAUAUGUUUUAUAAGCCUUAAAUAGAUAGUCUUGUAAAUGACUCUUGUUGUAAUUAAUUGUUAUGUAUUAGAUGUAUUUCCGCUUAUGAUAUGUGUUCCGCUGCACAUUGAUUAUUAUAUUUCACUGUUAGAUUUAACUCU